UGAUGUGAGGGAAUUUUGGCUGUGAUGGUGUAAUCAAUUGAUAUCUGAGGGUCGAUUUGAGUGACUUUGUUGGCUAGGCUGGUAUCCCCUUCUUUGAUCAUUACUCCAUGUGCAUUUCUCCUGACACUGCACACUUCCUCCUUGAUAGAUAAAGACAUUUCUUCCAUCAAGGGUAUAUGAGUAGUGGUGUUCCAAACGAGCUUGUAAGGUUCACAUUCAGAGUGCUUCCUACAUUAUGACUCCCCUUCCACACAUCCAGGUAGGAAGCAGAGCUCA
rnacentral:snRNA from 1 species